rnacentral:misc_RNA from 1 species
UCCGGCUUAUCACCGGCAGUCCCACUAGAGUGCCUAACUGAAGGAUACCAUCUCUGGUAACCGCGAUCGGGAUGUCAAGGGCUGGUAAGGUUCUGCGCGUUGCUCCGAAUUAAACCACAUGCUCCACCGCUUGUGCGGGCCCCCGUCAAUUCCUUUGAGUUUUAAUCUUGCGACCGUACUCCCCAGGCGGAGAGCUUAAUGCGUUAGCUGCGCCACCGAACAGUAUACUGCCCGACGGCUAGCUCUCAUAGUUUACGGCGUGGACUAC